CCGCUUCCGGUCCGGUACUGGCGUCUUUGCUGAGGGUCACAUUGAGCUUCCAGCGACUUCAGGGGCAUCUUUAGGAAGUCAGCACUAUGGCAGAAGACAUCAAGAUCAAAAUCAAGAACUACCAGACUGCUCCUUUUGAUAGCCGCUUCCCCAACCAGAACCAGACCAGGAACUGCUGGCAGAACUACCUGGACUUCCACCGCUGUGAGAAGGCAAUGACCGCUAAAGGGGGUGACGUCUCCGUGUGCGAAUGGUACCGGCGUGUGUACAAGUCCCUCUGCCCCAUAUCCUGGGUGUCAGCUUGGGACGACCGCCGGGCAGAAGGCACGUUUCCUGGGAAGAUCUGAACUGGCUCCAUCCCACCUCCUCUGUUCUCCGUCCUUCUCCCCCGUGGUGAAGGGGGACCUGGGUACAUGGUGAUCCCCACCCUGGGAUCCUGAAUCAUGGUUUAACUAAUAAUAAACGCUCGUUGGAAACAAA